CAGUGGGGAAUUUUGGACAAUGGGCGAAAGCCUGAUCCAGCCAUGCCGCGUGCAGGAUGAAGGCCUUCGGGUUGUAAACUGCUUUUGUACGGAACGAAAAGGUUUGGCCUAAUAAGCUGAGCUCAUGACGGUACCGUAAGAAUAAGCACCGGCUAACUACGUGCCAGCAGCCGCGGUAAUACGUAGGGUGCGAGCGUUAAUCGGAAUUACUGGGCGUAAAGCGUGCGCAGGCGGUUAUGUAAGACAGAUGUGAAAUCCCCGGGCUCAACCUGGGAACUGCAUUAGUGACUGCAUAGCUGGAGUACGGCAGAGGGGGAUGGAAUUCCGCGUGUAGCAGUGAAAUGCGUAGAUAUGCGGAGGAACACCGAUGGCGAAGGCAAUCCCCUGGGCCUGUACUGACGCUCAUGCACGAAAGCGUGGGGAGCAAACAGGAUUAGAUACCCUGGUAGUCCACGCCCUAAACGAUGUCAACUGGUUGUUGGGUCUUCACUGACUCAGUAACGAAGCUAACGCG
rnacentral:rRNA from 1 species